rnacentral:rRNA from 1 species
AACGAACGCUGGCGGCAUGCCUAACACAUGCAAGUCGAACGAGACCUUCGGGUCUAGUGGCGCACGGGUGCGUAACGCGUGGGAACCUGCCCUUAGGUUCGGAAUAACUCCCCGAAAGGGGUGCUAAUACCGGAUAAUGUCUUCGGACCAAAGAUUUAUCGCCUUUGGAUGGGCCCGCGUUGGAUUAGCUAGUUGGUAGGGUAAAAGCCUACCAAGGCGACGAUCCAUAGCUGGUCUGGGAGGAUGAUCAGCCACACUGGGACUGAGACACGGCCCAGACUCCUACGGGGGGCAGCAGUAGGGAAUAUUAGACAAGGGGCGAAAGCCUGAUCCAGCAAUGCCGCGUGAGUGAUGAAGGCCUUAGGGUUGUAAAGCUCUUUUACCCGGGAUGAUAAUGACAGUACCGGGAGAAUAAGCUCCGGCUAACUCCGUG